rnacentral:lncRNA from 1 species
UCAAUGCUAUCUCCUUCAAUGAGCUUGUGAUUGUGUGUGGCCUGGUCAAGCUCUGAUGUGCUAUAGUAACUUGCACUCAUUUGCAUGGGUGGAGAGUUACCAUACCUAGAAGCAUAUAUCCCAAAACCAUUUUUGUUUCUCAAUGUUACCCAUCUUACAUCUGCCCUACCAGAACAUUCUCCAGGAACAACAUAAGGAACAUGCAAAUCUUUAACAUUCUUCUCGUAGACUGCUACUUGAGCAGAUGCCUUUCGAUCUGGAUAACUCUCAUGUGGCCCUCUUCCAUACCAUGUUACUUGAUCCAAUGAUUUCUCCACAUUGAACUCGAUUCCAACACGCGGCAAAGGAGGAAGAUCAAGGUUUGGUUUUACGUUGCAUUCCAUAAUAACAUCCCCAGAAGCAUAAAUUGUAUAUGAAACAUCAGUUGUGAAUAAAAUAUUUGACUUGUCUUGAUCACCCUUGGUAAUACCAAGAAAAACCACCAAUAUUUUAACCGUGUCCUCCGCUGUAUUCACUAUAGAACAUCUUUCAGUAACAAAGUGGAGGUUGUCAAUUCCAGCAGCUUUCCACCUGGACAAAUAACUAGCAGAUUCUCCUCCUUUAUCAUUAUCAAUAGAAGCUCGCCAGAAACUUGGGAGUAUACCCUUGCUCAUAACAUUUACUCCUUUAACCUAGAAAUUAUCAGCACAGUAUUAGUACCAAUAUUUACUCCUUUGUUAUGUACAUUAAAACAAAAAAGUAAAAAGAAAUUUGACGUCAAAAUUAAUCAAAAAUGGGUUUGACAUGUAACAUUCUCAUCAACUGAUUAUUACUUGUGUAUGAAUUUGUAAGAUGAAAAUCAUGUCCUGAAGUACAGAAUUACCACAUACCAAAUGCAACACAUGCCGAAAAAUGCAGAUUACAUAAAAUGUCAGUAGUUCGAAUACCAAAAUAACAUUAGCAUAUGAAAAUGCAAUAUAACCAACAUUUUGACUAGUCCUGAAAAGCACAUGGACAUAAAUAUUGAUAGAAGUUAAAUACCUCAAUGCUAUCUCCUUCAAUGAGCUUGUGAUUGUGUGUGGCCUGGUCAAGCUCUGAUGUGCUAUAGUAACUUGCACUCAUUUGCAUGGGUGGAGAGUUACCAUACCUAGAAGCAUAUAUCCCAAAACCAUUUUUGUUUCUCAAUGUUACCCAUCUUACAUCUGCCCUACCAGAACAUUCUCCAGGAACAACAUAAGGAACAUGCAAAUCUUUAACAUUCUUCUCGUAGACUGCUACUUGAGCAGAUGCCUUUCGAUCUGGAUAACUCUCAUGUGGCCCUCUUCCAUACCAUGUUACUUGAUCCAAUGAUUUCUCCACAUUGAACUCGAUUCCAACACGCGGCAAAGGAGGAAGAUCAAGGUUUGGUUUUACGUUGCAUUCCAUAAUAACAUCCCCAGAAGCAUAAAUUGUAUAUGAAACAUCAGUUGUGAAUAAAAUAUUUGACUUGUCUUGAUCACCCUUGGUAAUACCAAGAAAAACCACCAAUAUUUUAACCGUGUCCUCCGCUGUAUUCACUAUAGAACAUCUUUCAGUAACAAAGUGGAGGUUGUCAAUUCCAGCAGCUUUCCACCUGGACAAAUAACUAGCAGAUUCUCCUCCUUUAUCAUUAUCAAUAGAAGC